CGAUCACUGGCGCGGCAAUGCGACGCCGCCCGACGAGUGGCGCGACGUGAUGUUCCGCAUCCGCGGCCCCGCGGUCGCGCCGCUGCUGUCCGGC
rnacentral:tRNA from 1 species